UGUGAGAAAAAAAAAAGAGUAGCCGUUUAGAUUUAUAAAAGACAAGAGAAAAGUGGGAGAGAUUUAAAAAGAGGGCUCGGGUUUAAAGUUACUCUGUUGCAGAAGAGGAGUCAAAUGUAAUAUCUUAUUUAAUGAAUCUUAUUUUAUCCGCAUAUUUUUUGUUUUGGUUUCUCUCUUUUAUAAUUGUAUCAGUUUUUACUGAGGAGACGUGUUUAUGGUAAAAAUUCGAUUUGACGCUUCCGUU
rnacentral:lncRNA from 1 species